rnacentral:rRNA from 1 species
AGGUAAGCUACUAAGAGCGAAUGGUGGAUGCCUUGACUGGUAAAGGCGAUGAAGGACGUACUAGACUGCGAUAAGCUACGGGGAGCUGUCAAGAAGCUUUGAUCCGUAGAUUUCCGAAUGGGGCAACCCAAUGUAUAGAGAUAUACAUUACCUAUAUAGGAGCGAACGAGGGGAAUUGAAACAUCUUAGUACCCUCAG